AUGGAGGGCGGAGAAGGUUCUGGUGGCGGCGAGCCGACCAAGUACCGCGGGGUGCGGCGCCGGCCGUGGGGCAAGUUCGCGGCGGAGAUCCGGGACUCGAGCCGUCACGGCGUGCGCAUGUGGCUGGGCACCUUCGACACCGCCGAGGAGGCCGCGGCCGCCUACGACCGCUCCGCCUACUCCAUGCGCGGCCGCAACGCCGUGCUCAACUUCCCCGACCGGGCGCACGUCUACGAGGCAGAGGCCAGGCGCCAGGGCCAGGGUUCUUCAUCGUCGGCGAGGCAGCAGAAUCAGCAGCAGGGGCAGAGCGGGGUGAUCGAGUUCGAGUACCUGGACGACGACGUGCUGCAGUCUAUGCUCCACGACCACGACAAAUCCAACAAGUAG
rnacentral:rRNA from 1 species